rnacentral:sRNA from 1 species
UUAUGAAGGUGUUCGGCGAGCUCUGA